CAAGGCGACGAUGCGUAGCUGGUCUGAGAGGACGAUCAGCCACACUGGGACUGAGACACGGCCCAGACUCCUACGGGAGGCAGCAGUGGGGAAUCUUGCGCAAUGCGCGAAAGCGUGACGCAGCAACGCCGCGUGGGGGAAGAAGGCCUUCGGGUUGUAAACCCCUUUCAGUUGGGACGAAGCUUCGCCGGUUAAUAGCCGGCUGGAGUGACGGUACCUUCACAAGAAGCCCCGGCUAACUACGUGCCAGCAGCCGCGGUAAUACGUAGGGGGCUAGCGUUGUCCGGAAUCAUUGGGCGUAAAGCGCGUGUAGGCGGCCCGGUAAGUCCGCUGUGAAAGUCGGGGGCUCAACCCUCGGAUGCCGGUGGAUACUGUCGGGCUAGAGUACGGAAGAGGCGAGUGGAAUUCCUGGUGUAGCGGUGAAAUGCGCAGAUAUCAGGAGGAACACCAAUUGCGAAGGCAGCUCGCUGGGACGUAACUGACGCUGAGACGCG
rnacentral:rRNA from 1 species